CGGCCGCGUCGACGGCGGACGGGUGAGUAAUACUUAGGAAUCUACCUAGUAGUGGGGGAUAGCACGGGGAAACUCGUAUUAAUACCGCAUACGACCUACGGGAGAAAGGGGCAGUUUACUGCUCUCGCUAUUAGAUGAGCCUAAGUCGGAUUAGCUAGAUGGUGGGGUAAAGGCCUACCAUGGCGACGAUCUGUAGCUGGUCUGAGAGGAUGAUCAGCCACACCGGGACUGAGACACGGCCCGGACUCCUACGGGAGGCAGCAGUGGGGAAUAUUGGACAAUGGGGGAAACCCUGAUCCAGCCAUG
rnacentral:rRNA from 1 species